CUGCUCGUAGCGUAGCCGGAUAACGCACAAGACUCCGACUCUUGAGAUCGCAGGUUCGAAUCCUGUCGAGCAGG
rnacentral:tRNA from 1 species